rnacentral:rRNA from 1 species
GUUGUAUAGUCAAGUAAUGAAGUGCACAUGGUGGAUGCCUUGGCAGUCAGAGGCGAUGAAAGACGUGACAGCCUGCGAAAAGCGUCGGGGAGGCGGCAAUAUCCUGUGAUCCGGCGAUAUCUGAAUGGGGAAACCCACUUGUCAUAAGACAGGUAUCGUAAAUUUAUUUACGAGGCAAACCGGGAGAAGUGAAACAUCUCAGUAACCCGAGGAAAAGACAUCAAUAGAGAUUCCCCUAGUAGCGGCGAGCGAACGGGGAGGAGCCGACUGAUUAUAAUUUAGAGGAAUGACUUGGAAAGGUCAAUCGUAGAGGGUGAUAAUCCCGUACUCGAAAGGUUAUAAGAAGCAUAUUAAGUAGGGCGGAACACGAGAAAUUCUGUCUGAAGAUGGGGGGACCAUCCUCCAAGGCUAAAUACUCCUGACUGACCGAUAGUGAACCAGUACCGUGAGGGAAAGGCGAAAAGAACCCCUGUGAGGGGAGUGAAAUAGAACCUGAAACCGUGUGCAUACAAGCAGUCGGAGCAUCAUUCAUGAUGUGACGGCGUACCUUUUGUAUAAUGGGUCAGCGACUUAUAUUCUGUAGCAAGGUUAACCGAAUAGGGGAGCCGUAGGGAAACCGAGUCUUAAUAGGGCGUCUAGUUGCAGGGUAUAGACCCGAAACCGAGUGAUCUAUCCAUGAGCAGGUUGAAAGUGACGUAACAGUUACCGGAGGACCGAACCCACUGUCGUUGAAAAGCCAGGGGAUGACUUGUGGAUAGGGGUGAAAGGCUAAUCAAACUCGGUGAUAGCUGGUUCUCCCCGAAAGCUAUUUAGGUAGCGCCUCGGACGAACACCAUUGGGGGUAGAGCACUGUUUCGGCUAGGGGGUCAUCUCGACUUACCAAACCGAUGCAAACUCCGAAUACCGAUGAGUGAUAUCCGGGAGACAGACGGCGGGUGCUAACGUCCGUCGUCAAGAGGGAAACAACCCAGACCGCCAGCUAAGGCCCCAAAUUCCUAGUUAAGUGGGAAACGAUGUGGGAAGGCACAGACAGCUAGGAGGUUGGCUUAGAAGCAGCCACCCUUUAAAGAAAGCGUAAUAGCUCACUAGUCGAGUCGGCCUGCGCGGAAGAUGUAACGGGGCUCAAACUAGGAGCCGAAGCUGCGGAUUUAAUUGUUUCAAUUAAGUGGUAGGGGAGCAUUGUGUAAGCCUGUGAAGGUGUGUUGUAAAGCAUGCUGGAGGUAUCACAAGAGCGAAUGCUGACGUGAGUAACGACAAAACGGGUGAAAAGCCCGUUCGCCGGAAGACCAAGGGUUCCAGUCCAACGUUAAUCGGGGCUGGGUGAGUCGACCCCUAAGGCGAGGCCGAAAGGCGUAGUCGAUGGGAAAUCGGUUAAUAUUCCGAUACUUGUUUAUGAUGCGAUGGAGGGACGGAGAAGGUUAUGCCAGCUUGGCGAUGGUUGUCCAAGUGGAAGGAUGUAGUUAGGUUUAGUAGGCAAAUCCGCUAGACUAUUAAUGAGAUCUGAUAGCAAGCUGUACUUGUACAGCGAAGUGGCAAAUACCCUGCUUCCAGGAAAAGCUUCUAAGCGAUAGUCAUAAAGAAAUCGUACCCGAAACCGACACAGGUGGUCAGGUAGAGAAUACCAAGGCGCUUGAGAGAACUCUGCUGAAGGAACUAGGCAAAAUGGUACCGUAACUUCGGGAGAAGGUACGCUGCCGAUGGUGAGUAGACAUGCUCUACAAAGCUAUUGGCAGUCGCAGAUACCAGGCCGCUGCAACUGUUUAUUAAAAACACAGCACUCUGCAAACACGAAAGUGGACGUAUAGGGUGUGAUGCCUGCCCGGUGCUGGAAGGUUAAUUGAUGGGGUUAGCGUAAGCGAAGCUCUUGAUCGAAGCCCCAGUAAACGGCGGCCGUAACUAUAACGGUCCUAAGGUAGCGAAAUUCCUUGUCGGGUAAGUUCCGACCUGCACGAAUGGCAUAAUGAUGGCGGCGCUGUCUCCAGCAGAGACUCAGUGAAAUCGAAAUCGCAGUGAAGAUGCUGUGUACCCGCGGCUAGACGGAAAGACCCCGUGAACCUUUACUACAGCUUUACAUUGAACUUUGACCUUACCUGUGUAGGAUAGGUGGGAGGCUUUGAAGCAGGCACGCCAGUGUCUGUGGAGCCAUCCUUGAAAUACCACCCUGGUAAUGUUGGGGUUCUAACUCAAGCUUAACAGAGCUGAGGACAAUGUAUGGUGGGUAGUUUGACUGGGGCGGUCUCCUCCUAAAGAGUAACGGAGGAGUACGAAGGUGCGCUCAGAACGGUCGGAAAUCGUUCGAAGAGUAUAAAGGCAAAAGCGCGCUUAACUGCGAGACCCACAAGUCGAGCAGAUACGAAAGUAGGUCUUAGUGAUCCGGUGGUUCUGUAUGGAAGGGCCAUCGCUCAACGGAUAAAAGGUACUCUGGGGAUAACAGGCUGAUACCGCCCAAGAGUUCAUAUCGACGGCGGUGUUUGGCACCUCGAUGUCGGCUCAUCUCAUCCUGGGGCUGAAGCAGGUCCCAAGGGUAUGGCUGUUCGCCAUUUAAAGAGGUACGCGAGCUGGGUUUAGAACGUCGUGAGACAGUUCGGUCCCUAUCUACCGUGGGCGUUGGAAAUUUGAGAGGAUCUGCUCCUAGUACGAGAGGACCAGAGUGGACGAACCUCUGGUGUUUCGGUUGUGACGCCAGUCGCAUUGCCGAGUAGCUAUGUUCGGAUGGGAUAACCGCUGAAAGCAUCUAAGCGGGAAGCCCACCUUAAGAUUAGAUUUCCCUAAAGAGCCGUUGUAGACUACGACGUUGAUAGGUUGGGUGUGGAAGCAUAGUGAUAUGUGUAGCUAACCAAUACUAAUUGCUCGUUUGGCUUGACUAUACAACGCCUAA